CUUGCCGCAUCCUUCUCGUUCCAUACGCCCCUCAUCUGCGGAGUUCUUAGCGAAGCUCUGUCGGAUUUCCGCCAUACUUCCACUACCACAUCGUCGUGCUGCCAAGAUCGAUCUCAUCCACCUCUCCCCCUUGCUUUAUGUAUCAAGCCGCACGUGUGUUCAAUUCGAAGGCAUCGUUCGUGCGGUGCUACAUCGGAUUGAUCCGAUAAAAGUACGACCGCAUCACCCACGAUCAUUAGAUUGUUAAACGUGUGUGUUCUACAAGGGUAUGUAGACCUUUUCCCACUCAUGCUACCAUCUAGUAGAUUGGAUCUUGGGUUUAUUCGUUCUCUCAUAGGAAAAAAAAUUGCGGCGAAUCCCAUCAAAAUUAUGACCCUAAACUGUUGGUGUAGCAAUAGCAGAUAUGUGGCAGCAUACGCAAAGAGAAUCUAGAUGGGUGUACAUGAGACGACGAUUUUUUCAUGUCCAGGCCCUCGAGAUGAAAUUCAUGCCAUUAAGAUGAGGUAAUACCUCACUUCCUUCCUUUUUACAUUGUAUUGAUGGUUGCUUCGUAAGAGAGCUAGAGUUUAUGGUGAUACCUAUUCAUGAUGACGAUGAUGAUAAUGAUCGGGAGGCCCCUAUCUCGCCUAUUUUAUUAGGAAAUCGUGGGAGGAGUGGUGCCGCUUAUGAAGAAGAGGAAUACAAACAAGGCAGUAGCUUCAACGUAUGUCGUUCAACGGCCUCCUCCUCCAAUGGUGAGAGAGUACAUGGUGGAUGGUAGGUAUUCUUAGUCCUUGGAUCAAGGUAUUCACAAAGAGCAAGUUGUUCCAGGUAGACACCAUCAAGAAUUAUGCUGAAAAAUCACAUAGAAUUAUCAGACGUAGAAGGACACUCCAUAAGUUAGGUUUAAAUGGGGUGGUUGCGAACCAACCUGUAUUUGGAUGGUUAGGAGGACAGUGGUAUCCCAGUCCACCAGAGUUCAAGUCCUACACUUACUGGUGCUCGUGUUUUUCUAUAUUUAUUUCAGGCCUUCCGCCGAUGUGCGUUCAGUGGGAGGAGAUGUUUUCGUCGACUAUGAAAGCGUCUGUGGCUACUUCGCCAACCUCAAGAUGAUGUGUCGGCUCUGUCUUUCGGAGGUGCUCAUAAGAAUGAGUGUAUGCGCGUAUAUAUGAGCGUCUGUUUCUAUACCGUGUUAAAAAAUAGGAUUAUGUUGAAAUUCUGCGUAGAAAUGGAAGAUAUUUUAGUAGGCAAAUUUAUGCUUCAAGACAUACUUGUGUAGUGAACUGGAAUCAGCAUCGUCGUAUGGCAUCAGCAUCGUCAUAUGGCAUCGCCUUGCAGAACACAUGUUGCAAACUCAAACUUCUUUGCAAAAGAAAGGGUGUACGUUUUGGCACGAAUCAAUAUGUAUGUUGUGGCUGAAACCACAAUUUGCAUGAUAGACAAAAAUAUAUUUAUGUGUCGAUGUUGUUUUUUCAUCUGAUCUUGUAGUCUUUUUCUUUGUGUAGCACACAAAUCAC
rnacentral:lncRNA from 1 species